rnacentral:rRNA from 1 species
CUGGCUCAGGAUGAACGCUGGCGGCGUGCCUAAUACAUGCAAGUCGAGCAAACGUCAUAGAAGCUUGCUUCUAUGACAUUAGCGGCGGACGGGUGAGUAACACGUGGGCAACCUGCCUGUAAGACUGGGAUAACUUCGGGAAACCGAAGCUAAUACCGGAUAGGAUCUUCUCCUUCAUGGGAGAUGAUUGAAAGAUGGUUUCGGCUAUCACUUACAGAUGGGCCCGCGGGGCAUUAGCUAGUUGGUGAGGUAACGGCUCACCAAGGCAACGAUGCAUAGCCGACCUGAGAGGGUGAUCGGCCACACUGGGACUGAGACACGGCCCAGACUCCUACGGGAGGCAGCAGUAGGGAAUCUUCCGCAAUGGACGAAAGUCUGACGGAGCAACGCCGCGUGAGUGAUGAAGGCUUUCGGGUCGUAAAACUCUGUUGUUAGGGGAGAACAAGUACGAGAGUAACUGCUCGUACCUUGACGGUACCUAUCCAGAAAGCCACGGCUAACUAAGUGCCAGCAGCCGCGGUAAUACGUAGGUGGCAAGCGUUAUCCGGAAUUAUUGGGCGUAAAGCGCGCGCAGGCGGUUUCUUAAGUCUGAUGUGAAAGCCCACGGCUCAACCGUGGAGGGUCAUUUGGAAACUG